CCUACGGGAGGCAGCAGUGGGGAAUAUUGGACAAUGGGCGCAAGCCUGAUCCAGCAAUACCGCGUGUGUGAAGAAGGCCUGCGGGUUGUAAGCACUUUCAGUUGGGAAGAUAAUGACGUUACCAACAGAAGAAGCACCGGCUAACUCCGUGCCAGCAGCCGCGGUAAUACGGAGGGUGCAAGCGUUACUCGGAAUCACUGGGCGUAAAGGACGCGUAGGCUGUUUUGCAAGUCGGAUGUGAAAUCCAAUGGCUCAACCAUUGAACUGCAUUUGAAACUGCUAGACUAGAGUAUGGGAGGGGGAGAUGGAAUUAGUGGUGUAGGGGUAAAAUCCGUAGAUAUCACUAGGAAUACCUAAAGCGAAGGCGAUCUCCUGGAACAUUACUGACGCUAAGGCGUGAAAGCGUGGGGAGCAAACAGGAUUAGAUACCCUGGUAGUCCACGCCCUAAACGAUGAACACUAGUCGUCGGGAUGCUUGUCAUCUCGGUGAUGCACUUAACAGGUUAAGUGUUCCGCCUGGGGAGUACGGUCGCAAGAUUAAAACUCAAAGGAAUAGACGGGGACCCGCACAAGUGGUGGAGCAUGUGGUUUAAUUCGAAGAUACGCGAAAAACCUUACCUGGCCUUGACAUUGAUAGAAUCCUGUAGAGAUACGGGAGUGCCCUUCGGGGAGCUUGAAAACAGGUGCUGCACGGCUGUCGUCAGCUCGUGUCGUGAGAUGUUGGGUUAAGUCCCGCAACGAGCGCAACCCUCGUCCUUAGUUGCCAGCAGGUUAAGCUGGGCACUCUAGGGAGACUGCCUUCGCAAGGAGGAGGAAGGUGAGGACGACGUCAAGUCAUCAUGGCCCUUACGGCCAGGGCUACACACGUGCUACAAUGGGGCGUACAGAGUGUUGCAAUACCGCGAGGUGGAGCCAAUCACUUAAAGCGUCUCUCAGUUCGGAUUGUUCUCUGCAACUCGAGAGCAUGAAGCUGGAAUCACUAGUAAUCGUAGAUCAGCAUUGCUACGGUGAAUACGUUCCCGGGUCUUGUACUCACCGCCCGU
rnacentral:rRNA from 1 species